AUUGAACGCUGGCGGCAGGCCUAACACAUGCAAGUCGAACGAGUGGCGGACGGGUGAGUAAUGUCUGGGAAACUGCCCGAUGGAGGGGGAUAACUACUGGAAACGGUAGCUAAUACCGCAUACCAUCGGAUGUUCACAGAUGGGAUUAGCUAGUAGGUGGGGUAACGGCUCCCCUAGGCGACGAUCCCUAGCUGGUCUGAGAGGAUGACCAGCCACACGGGAACGGAGACCAGGUCAAGACUCCUACGGGAGGCAGCAGUGGGGAAGAGUGCACAAUGGGGGCAAGCUGGAUGCAGCCAUGCCGCGUGUAUGAAGAAGGCCUGCGGGUGGUAAAGUACUUUCAGCGGGGAGGCGUUACUCGAAGAAGAAGCACCGGCUAACUCCGUGCCAGCAGCCGCGGUAAUUC
rnacentral:rRNA from 1 species